GGUGAAAUGAGAAAGAAUGGACUAGAACCUGAUGCUGUAACAUGGAGAAUACUGGAUAAAUUGCAUGGCAAUGUGGAAAAACAGUUCCGCGAGGAUUCAACAUGCAAUUAAGUUGGGGGUUUAAGAUAAGCCGGUCAUUGAAAAUUUUUUAGUCUUAAAUAAAGAGUGAAGUGACUAAAUCAAAAAGCCUGAGGGCAGCAGUUGUCUCAGUUGU
rnacentral:misc_RNA from 1 species